CGCUGCCCGGGGCGCCGCGGGCUGCUGGAGUCGAGGGGGAAGGGGCUGAGUAGCUGCGGCUCAGGAGUGGAAAUGCUGCGGCGAGGGGCUCUGCAGGCCCGUCGAGGAGUCCAAAGGCAUUUGGAGUCAGUCCGAGCCUGGGUGCAUGCUCUUGUUAUUUAUUUUCGCUCCAGGCAAAGCGAUUUGGCGGGAGAGGGUUGGGACUCCAAGACAACUCCAUUGCUGGAGGAGGCCCCAACCUGGGAGAAGAGAGGUUUAGAGAAAUCAGUAGAGCUCAGAGAAGCGAAACCGAAAGGGGGUGUUGGGGACAAGGAGGAGGGAUCCAAGAGGGAGAGUGCAUCCAGGCUGGGUUCUGAAGGAUGAACCGGAGCUCGCGGGCAGGGGGGAGGGGCGAGUGUACCGAGGGCCGCGGCCUUCCAGGAAGAAGGGACAGCGCGUCCUAAGGCACAGGAGCGUGAAAGCCCCCACGGUGCUGUGUUUGGCUUUGUUGCAGCGGAAAAAAGCGAGGGAGGAGAGACAGGAGAUAAGGCUGGCGCGGUAAGCAGGACUCAGGUUGCAAGGGUCCUGCGUGUAGAGCUAAUGAGGUGGCUGGGCAUUAUCCCUCGGGAGAGGGGGCGACGUGGACGGCGAGGGCCGGCUGGGGCGGGGGAAGUAUCUGAAAACAUCGAGGUGCUUCCAACCUCAGGGCCAAGGUGCUGGGACCCUUUCCCAAGACGUUGCCCCUUUCAUGGGAAAUGUGGACCUUCCAGACGGUUGAUGCCAUUUCCCAGGAACCUGGGAUCUUGGCAGACGAUGCUGACAUAUUCUCAAAGACUGGUUGGUGGAGUUUGCUCGAUUUUGGUUCCUCUUUCAAAAUGUCCUCACUGGCGCAUUUGUUCAUUUUCUCUUUUUCACUCGGGCCCCAUCAAUGUGUUCCAGCAGCCCCUGUUGCUCUUUUCUUCGCCCAGACAAGCAGAUUUUCCUACAGCUUCAGAACUGGAGCUGGCCUUUGUUACUGGUGAUGUGGUUGACUUAGGUUUAGGGGCCAUGCAGUAAGGAAACCUCAUAAGACCCAGAGAUUUACAGAGCCUGGGCCAGGGAGUUGCUUCCUGCAAGGAGCUCGGACACCUGAGCCUCUGAGAGGCAGGGAGCGCUGUCCCUGGAGUUCGGACCUGGUAGACAUUCCUGCAAGUUCACGGAGUGACCUUGAGACUGGACUGGCCCCGGCUCCAGCUCCGUCUAUUUCUAUUCCCGUCCAGAUGCCAAUUUGGGCUUAGUCCUUCUGGGAGAGAAUCAAGGCCAGUGUGUCUCGAGCAUAGCAGGUGGUGAGUGUCCCCUCCAGUGGGGACAGACAGAGGGGAACAGAGGGAGCCAGGGCCCCAGAGGCCCAGCAUGAAAAAUUUGGAUUUCAUUCCAAGUAAAAUGGAUUGAAGCGGGAGAGUGACUUAAAAUGAUUAACCUCAUAAAUAUCAAGUGUCGGCAAAGACGAGGAGCAAAGGAGUCCCUCCUAGGUGCUGGAGGUUGGUAGUUGUACAAGCCAGUGUUAGAGUUGGACCAGCACAUAUUCCACAACCCAGCAAGUCUGCUCCUGCAUAUGUGUCUCAGAGAAACGUGUGUGUGUAGGAAUGUUCCUAAUGAGGCUAUCACAGUGUCCAUCAGCAAGAGGAUGGACAAGUGCAUUGUGGUAUAUUCUUACAAUGGAGUGAAAAAGAAUAAACCACUGCUCUGUUCAAGAACAUGUAUGUAAUCUUAUGUAUCUCAUCAUAUGUAAUGAUGAGACUGAGUGGUAACAUACAGAAUAUAUAUGAUGUGAUUCAAUGGAUGCAAAGCUUAAGGAAAGGUAAAACAAAGCAAUAACAUUGAAGAAUGCACAUAUAGAUGGUGAAAUUGUAAAGAGAAGCAAGAAAAAAUGUCUUUUGACAGAUGAAUGUAGAAAAUGUGAUAUAAUGUGAGUACUAAAGAAUGAUAUCGUGCCAGUUUUUUUUUGGUACCAGGGAUCGAACUUGGAUCCUUGUGGUUGUGCAGCAGGCAGCAAAACCACUGAGUUAAAUCCCCAGCCCUGUCUUGCCAUUUUUAAUAGCAUGGAUGUACCUAGAAGAACUUAUGCUAAAUGAAAUAAGCUAGUCAUAUAGGGGCAAGGACUGCAGGCUUCCACUUAGAUGAGGUAACUAAAAGAGUCAAACUCACAGAAUCCAGAAUAGAAGGGUGAUCGCCAGAGGCUGGAGGUCUGGGAGGGGAAAUGAAAGUGGGAAAUUGUUCUUCAAAGAGUGUACCUUCUAUUAUGCAAGAUGAAUAAUCUCUAGAGAUCUGCUGUACAAGAUAGAAUCUGUAGUUAAUAAGGGCUUGUGCACUUCAAAGUACGUUAAGAGGAUACAUCUCACGUUAAGUGUUUGUUAUAUUUUGUGUGUAAUUUGUGUCUUUCCCAACAGUCCAUAUGGAAAAGCUUAGACCCCAGGGUGGCAGUAUUGUGGGGUCCUGUGAACCAUUAAGGGGUGUGGCUUAGCGGGGGGCUCUUAGGUCACUGUAAGUGUGCCCUCUCGGGGAAUUGUGGCACCUCAUUCUCUUCCUCCUCCUUGCUCUGCUCCAAUUGGAGAUGUGAAUGUUUUUCUCCAGCGUGUUCCCAUCCAUGCCAUGAGGUGCUGAAGUGAAGGCAUGGCUCUCACCAAGCUUGUACUAUACUGUUUGGGCUUUGAACCUCCCAAAAUUGUGAGCUAAAUAAACCAUUUAUCUUUAGUGUUAAAGCUGACCAACACAGUAUUCUUCCAAAACAAAACUAAACAACAACACCCAGACAAACAAAAAGCCCCAAUGCUCAUGAAAGAACACAAAUUUUUGGAGGUUAUGUUUAGUACCUUGAUUGAAGUGGUGAUAAUCAUGGGUUUAUUUAUAUCUCCAGAUGCAUUAAGGAAUACAUUAAAUAGGUGUGAUUUUAAUGUAUCAAUUUUACCUCAAUAAAACCAAAAGAGAAGAAAAAAAAAGAAAAAAGAAAAGUAAGGAAAGAUGAUGAUAUAAAACAGGAUGGUGGUUAGUGCUAAGGAGGAGGAAGAGGGUUGUUGAUGAGGAGGAGCCCAAGGCAGGGAAAGAGAAGAGAAAGAGAGACUCAAGUACCCACUGCCUCCAACUGGACACCACCUUCCACAGUUUGCACCAUCUCCCAAUAGCCCAUCAAAUUAUGCAUCUAUUAAUGGAUUAAUUCAUCAAUGAGAUCGUAGCCUCAUCAUCCAAUCACCUCCCCAAAGCCUCACUUCUGGACGUUGCUGUGUGGGACCAAACCUUCAACACAUGGGUCUUUGGGGGACACUGAUCAUACUGCCAACUCCCAAGUAUGGCAGAAAGGAGAGUGGAAAGUGCCAGGUCCCUAAUGACAUCACUGAUCUGCAGAAAUAACCCUGGAUUGGUCCUAAAUUUGAACUUCUCAUGGGGAGCAACAACCCUUUGUUUAAGUCCUUUUGAGUUCCAUAUUCUGUUACUUGAAGCAAAAGGAAAAAAAAGAAAAUCAUUUAAAUGCAAGGUUUGUUUGAGAAGGAUUGGGGUGGGUGGGAGCUUAAUCCAGCCUCAUCCUCUGCAAUUCGUCCCUCCAAACCCCAAGAAGUCAUGUGACCCUUCUGGUGCAGCUCCAUAAGGGAGUCAAGGGCUUGCCAUGUUCCUGUCUCAGACUGGGAUGUUUACCUCUUUUAGAAUCUGGGCCUUUUCAGACUGGCUUCUCUCCCGAAUGCAUUUAAGAUUCCUCCAUGUCUUUUCAUUGCCAGGUAGCUCAUUUCUUUUUAGUGCUGAAUACUAUUCCAAUGCCAGUAUGUACUACAGUGUCUUAGUCACUUUCUUUGUCUCUGAGACAAAAUACCCAACACCCUCAACUUAAAGGAGGAGAGGUUUAUUUUGGCUCAGUUUUUAGAAGUUUCAGUCCAUACUGAGCCAUCCCCAGGCAGAAGAAGCCUCGUGGAAGGGUCUGGCGGAGGAAAGCUGCUCACCUUAUGGUGGCAAGGAAACAGAGUAAAGGGAGGAAGCAGGAAGGGAGAUAAACUCUUCUGGAUCAUGACCCCUGUGACCCUGCUCUUUGGACCAAACCCCACCUCCUAACAGCAAGUCAGCUAUAAGCCCCUAAAAUACAAUCACCUUCCAAACACGUGAGGCCUUAGGGGCCAUUUUGGUCUAAACCAUAGCACAUAGUUUAUCUAGUCACCUGCUGAAGGACAUCUUGUUUGCUUCCAAGUUUAAGUGAUUAUAAAUGAAGCUGAUAUGAACAUUUAUGUGUACAGGUGUUUGUGUAGCUCUAAGUUUUUAUCUCAUUUGGAUGAACAUCAAGAAGCACACCUGCUGGAUUGUACAUAUGGUAAGAGUACAUUUACUUUCAUAAGAAAGUGCCAAACUGUCUUCCAAGUGGCCACACCAUUGCUCUGUUUACAGUAGAGCUUUUUUUCCCUCCCUAGCCUGCUCCUCCACACUCUCAUCUUCUUACCAUAACUGGUUCCAAAGUUGCUUCCACAUUUUCAGAUGUUAUAAGAGCAAUGCUUCACUCCUGGUACCAAUUUUUCUGUCUUAGUCUGUUUUGUGUUACUAUAACAAAAUACCUGAUGCUAGGUAAUGUAUAAAGAAAAAAGGUUUAUUUUGCUCCUGACUCUUGUGGAUGGAAAGUUCAUGGUACUGACAGGGCCCAUGGCCAUAUUACAAGAUGGCAUAUGACAUCACAUGAUGAGACAGGAAAUGAGGCCAGGGAGGGGCCAGCCUUGCUUUUUUAAAACAACCUGAUCUUGUGGGCAGUAAUCUGCUCUUGUGGGACCUAACACACUCUGUGAGCACUAAGCCUGUUUAAAGGCCUUAAUAGCUUUCAAAGCUGAUCCCAGCUUGGUCACUUUGGGGAUUAAGCUCAACAUGAGUGUUGGUGGGGAAGAACUGUAUUUACAUAGCAGUCAUGAUGUAUAAUUACUUUUUAUAUGUGGUUGGAUUUGGUUUGGUAAUGUUUUGGUGAGGAUUUUUGCAUCUGUGUUUAUGAGAGAGAUUGGCCUGUAGUUUUCCUUUCUUGCAGUGUCUUUUGCUUUGGUAUUAGGGUAGUUGUUGGUUUCAUAAAACAAGUUAGAAAGUAUCUCUUUGCUUCUAUUUUUUGCAAGAGAUUGCAGAGAACUGGCAUAAUUUCUUCCUUAAAUGUUUGUGCAACCAUCUGGAGCUGCGCUUUCUGUUUUAGAACAUUAUUAAUUAUUGAUUCAAUUUCUUUAAUAGAUGGAGACAAAUCCAGAUCAUCUGUUUCUCUUUCUGUGAGUUUUGGUAGACUGUGGCUUUCAAGAAAUCAAUCCAUUUCGUUUUAGAUUAUUGUAUCUGUGUGCAUAGAGUUGUGCAUGAAGUUCCUUUAUUAUCAGUUUAGAGCCCAAGGAGCCUCUCCUUCAUUUUUUAUCUGAGUACUUUGUAUCCUCUCUUGCUUUUCACCUGGCUAGAGGGCUAUUGAUUUUAUUGAUCAUUUCAAACAACCAACUUUCGGCUUUCUGUUUUCAGUAUUAUUGAUUUCUGCUCUGAUUUUUUAUUAUUUCUUUUCUUCUGCUUUCUGUGGAUUAAUUUGUUCUUCUUUCUGUAGUUCACUAAGGAAAGCUUAGACGAUUGACUUUAGGCCUUUCUUUUUUCAAAUAUACGUGGUCAGUGCUAUAAAUUUCCCUCUAAGUACUUCAUCUGCUGCAUCUCACAAUUGUUUUUUUGCGGUAUCAGGGAUUGAACUCAGGACCUUGUGCUUGCGAGUCAAGGCAUCUCACAAAUUUUGACAGUUGCAUUUUCAUUUUUAUUGAGCUUAAUAAAUUUUAAAAUUUCUUUUGAGACAACUUUGACCUAUAUGUUAUUUUUUUUUUUGGUACCGGGGAUUGAACUCGGGUCCUUGCACUUGCGAAGCAGGCGGCGGAACCACUGAGCUAAAUCUCCGGCCCUAUGUGUUAUUUUUUUAAAAUAAAAAAAGUUAGUACAUGUUUGCAGUACACAGUGAUUAUAUUCAUUGUGAGGAGUUGGUAUAUUACAUAACACAUCUUCAUACUUUUCUGUGUGUUUUUUGUUUGUUUGUUCUUUUGAGACAGAAUCUUGCUUAUGUAGUUUGGACUGGCCUUGAACUCACUAUGUAGCCCAGGCUGGCCUCAAACUCAAGAUCAUUCUCUUGCCUCAGCCUCCUGAAUUCUGGGAUUGCAGGCAUUCACCACUACGUCUGAUUCUAUGUGUUCUUUUGAAAUGUCUUGUUUUGUGUUAUUUGGGAGUUUUCAGCUAUCUUACUGCUAUUGAUUUCUACUUUAAUUUUAUUAUGGUCUGCGAACAUACUUUGUAUAAUUUUCAUUAUUUUGACUUAAGUAUGUUUUUAUGGUGUGGAAUACAUUCCAUUUUAGUGAAUGUUUCAUGUGAGACUGAGAAAAAUGGCCACCUUUAGGUUCCCUCUGUGGUCCACAUGGAAAUGCUUCCUUCUCACUUCUGGACCUCUAGCCUUUUCUUCCCGACCUCCCUCCUCGUACAAGGUAAUGGGGUCUGGGCCUCCAGUCAAUGCGGGACAAAGAAGAGCUCAAAGAGAUCAAGGAGGCCAGCUUUUCUCGUGGUCAGAUCCCCCACCUCUCCAGCCGAUUCACCAGUCUGGGCAAAGGGGUGAAUGGAAGUCUUCUAGGACUCCAGAACUUUCCAUCAACCCACUGGGGAGCUGGAUCUUCUUUCUUCUUUGGAGAGAGGGCAGUAAAUUUCCUUGGAUUCACGAAGAAUGGUUCAUUUCCAGCCCAUCGAAGAUAACACAAAGAUCAAACAUUUGAAUGGACCAGAAGGACCCAAUAGCUGAAGCCACAAGCUGCAGUUUGGAUAAAGAUCACAAGAUCUCCGCGAUGAGCGGUUAUAGGUGCCACACAUGUUGAUCGGAGCAGACAUCUUGGAGGAACAGCCGGGUGGCAUGGUGCACAGGACUGUCCACGAGGCUGAUCAGGACGUGGACAGGGCUGUAUCUGUCACAGAAUUUGUUAAGGCUUUGGAGCAGGUGGACGUAGAAUAGAAAAUGAGCAUCCGGUUUCUUCACUAAAGGACAGAGACCGAACCAUUCCCCACUGUCUGGUAUUUAAGAACUGGGACUUAAAGAGUCCUCCUGUCCACCAGCCCUACCUCUCCACCACUCUUCCGCUUCUCUUUGCACAACAGCCCCAAACAUGCUCUGUCCAUCCAAACCCCCUGUGUGGUGUAAACAGGGCUGCGCAGAAUGGCACUCGCAGUCUCUUUCUGUUUGGUAGCCACCCUCAGCUCUGCAUUUCUCAAUACCAUCUUCCUCUGUUCUGCUGCUAAACACCAUACAUCCAACCUGCCUGAGGAAGAGAGAGGGAAUCAUGCCAGACUGGCUGGCCAUGCUCUCCCUGGGUAGAGAUGUGGCCACACUGCCCUCCCUCCAGCAAGGAUUUAGACGUUCCUGCAUCCUCUUCUACAUCCUUUGCUCCUACUUUUCCUGUCACUUGGCCUACUGUCCACUUGUUCUCUCAGCCUCCUUGGCUUUUACUAAACCUCAAGAUUCCCUCUGUUUUGCUUGGCACCCCAAGCUAUACCCAGUAAAUCUAUUUCAGAGUUGGCAGCAUGGUUCAGAGAUCUGGCGGUUUUGAUCUGCCUUCACCUGUAAGUGGGCCUCUGGGAUGCUGUCUUGCUAGGAGCUUUUCGGGAGCCAACACCUGUUCUGUCAUCAAAGGGCUACUGAGUGGCGAUGUCCUUGAAAGGUCGCCUUGGUGAGCAAGUGUUCUAGGUGGCCCCCAGGUCUCUGUAGCUCUGGGUUCUGAGUCUCAGCCUUUGCACCUGCAUGGCUUCUCUGUGAGUGCCAUGAUUACUCAGAAAACAGUCACAGGCCUGCAGGUUUGCUUAGCUUUGGACACCAUUGCCACCAGAAUGGUCACUCAGAGAAUGCUCCCUGGACCUUCUUAUGGGGUUUUGAACAGGGAGGCUGGGAGCCCCCUGCGCCCCCUGCACUCACACAACCUGGGGUAUCCUUGGUGUGAUGAGCACCAGAAGUUUUCUCCCUUCACCUUUCCAAGUAGAGCAACUAGUGUUUCAGAAGUGUUUAAUUCAACCCAGCUUGAGAGAAUUAAAGACUGUCAUCCGUGUCCUGAAGUUUUGCACAAAAUUCUUUAUACAUUUUACACUUGGCAGCUGUUAAUGCUGGAAGCCACAGCCAGCCUCUAAUACAGGUUGGAAACAUUGAAGGUAUUGUUGUCUCAGCUGCCUGGUUACGUGACCGUCCUAGAUCCUUGUGUGGACCGCUGCUAAUCCCUUGGAAACAGGGGUCUGGCACUGAUGGCACAGCCUGAGGUUGCGUUACAGGACACUGAGUGAGCCAGAGCAGCUUAUCUGCCAAAGCCGGCUCAGUAUAGACCUCCUGAAUGGGGCCGCUGGCAUCUUCUGGCUGGGAAUCCAUUCAUCCAUACAUCUGCCCCUGGCUAACUGUCUUUGACUCAUUGCUUACUUAUUUCCUUGCUACAGAAGGCUGUCCAAGAUGUGCAGAUGUUUCUUUAGGAAGGGAGUUGCUAAAAAAGAUACCAGUGCAAAGGGAUGGAUAAGGGUGGGGCAUGGGGGAGUGGCCAGGUUGGAUGGCCAAAGUAUAAAUGCAUGAGGGACUCUAGGAGGUAUCAGCCUGACUUUGUUCUUUUUUUUUUUUUUGGUUUUUUCGGUACCAGGGAUUGAACUUGGGACUUUGUGCUUGCGAGGCAGGCGCCGGAACCACUGAGCUAAAUCCCCGGCCCCUUCAGCCUGACUUUGUGAUCAAAGUGAAGUAACACAGAAAUUAUAUAUGACAGGAAGAACUGUCUGAUGUUGACCUGCUAGAGACGCAGUUCCAGGGUCCUUUUUUACAUUUAAAGUUUCUAAGAUUAUGAUCUCCCUCCCCGGCUCUAUAGCAGACUGUUUAAUCUACAGUUGUGCUUUACUGUCCCAUUAAAAUUAUAUUCUCCAAUCCAUCAGUACAUACUUAUGGUUAAAACAACAACAACAACAACAACAACAACAACAACAAAAGAGAUUGAGAAAAAUGUGCAGUCUCCUUUUUGUUGGAUGAAUUAUUCUGCAGACAUUAAUUAGACCUAGUUAAUAUAUGGCACUCUUCAGUUGUCUUCUCUGAUAUGCUGCUUUCUAGAUCUGUCCACUACUAUCUGUCUGGAUCUGUCCACUGUCCGUGCUGCAGAGGGAUAUUGAAGUUUCCAGUUAUAAUAGUGGGCUUAUCUGUUUCUCCUUGAAGUUUGAUUAGUUUUUGUCUCACAUAGUUUUGUACUGUGGUUAGGUUAUGCACACUUAAGAUUGUAAUAUUUCAUAGAGAAUUGACUAUCAUCAUGUAAUCUCUUUAUUUUUUUGUCAUUCCCUAGCUCUGAAGUGUGCUUCAUUUGAAAUGAAUAUACUUUUUUUUUUUGUACCGGAGAUCAAACUUGGGACCUUGUGCUUUCGAGGCAGGUGGCGGCACCACUGAGCUAAAUCCCCAGCCCUUGAAAUUAAUAUACUUUUGAUUGAUGUUAGCAUGAUAUCUAUCCCUCCAUCACUUCACUCUUAAAAAUUCAUUCUUUGAAAAUAUUUAAUUGUGGUAACACACACAUAAUGUGAGAUCUGGCAUUGUAGUGUUUCAAGGUUCACAGUUUGCUGGUGUGCUGUAUACUCACACAAGAUAAGAGCUCUUAUCUUGGAAGACUGAAAUUCUGUAUCCAUUCAGCAACAGCUCCUCACCCUCCUUCCUCCAGUCCCUGGCAACCACCAUUAUAUUCUCUGUCUCUAGAAACAGAGUACUCUAGGGACUUUGUAGAAGUGGAAUCAUAUAGUAUUUAUCCUUCAGGCAUAUUUGACUUAGCAUGAUGCUCCCAAAGUUCACCCAUGUCAUAGUGUGUGUCCGAAUGUCCUUCCUUUUCAAGGCUGAAUCAUAUUCCACUGUAUGUAAUACCACAUUUUGUUUACUCAUUCAUCCACUGAUGGAUACUUGGGUAGCUUUUGGCUAUUGUGAAUAAUGCUGCUAAGAACACAGCUGUACCAAUUCUCUUUGAGAGCCUGCCUGUGGUUAUUUGGGUAUAUAUCUAAGAAUUAUUGCAUUGUAUGAUAAUUCUAUUUCUAAUUUUUUUUUGCAACUGUUGUACUUUUUCCCCAUAGAGGCCGCAUUAUUUAACAUUUCCACCAGCGCUUUUCUUUAGCCCUGUGACAUGUAGUGACCGGCUGAUGUACGUUUUGGAGUUGAAUUUGGGGGUUAUUUGGGGCCACCGGUGCUAUGGCUGCCGCCGCCACUGCUCCCUCCACCUUUUGCUUGGAGCUUUAUUUUGCAAGGCAGCACUUGCGCCAGCUGUGUAAAGCUCUGUUUCAAGAUCUUUUGAGAUGUCAGGUUUUGAUAAGGUAAACAUGGAUUUCUACCAGACAAGUUACAGCAUUGAUGACCAGUCUCAACAAUCCUAUGAUUGUGGUGGAAGUGGAGGACCCUAUAACAGUAUGCUGGCUACGACUACUCACAGCAAGGCCAAUUUGUCCCUCCAGACAUGAUGCAGCCGUAGCAGCCAUACACUGGGCAAACUUUCCAGCCAGCUCAGGCAUAUACUCCAGCUACACCUCAACCAUUCUAUGGAAACAGCUUUGAGGACGAGCUACCUUUAUUAGAAGAGUUAGGUAUCAAUUUUGACCACAUCUGGCAAAAACCACUAACAGUGCCACAUCCAUUAAAAGAAGUAGAUGGCAGCAUCAUGAAUGAAACUGAUUUGAUAGGACUGCUGGUUUUUUGCCUUGCCUUUGGAGCCACAUUGUUACUGGCUGGCAAAAGCCAGUCUGGCUAUGUGUAUGGGAUCAAUACAAUUGGAUGUCUAGGAAUGUUUUGUUCAUUAAACUUAAUGAGUAUGACAGGUGUUUCAUUUGGUUGUAUGGCAAGUGUCCUUGGAUAUUGCCUUCUUCCCAUGAUCCCACUUUCCAGCUUUGUGGUGAUAUUUUCUUUACAAGGAAUGUUAGGAAUCAUUCUUACUGCUGGGCUUAUUGGAUGGUGUCGUUUUUCUGCUUCCAAGAUUUUUAUUUCUGCAUUAGCCAUGGAAAGACAGCAACUUUUAGUAGCAUAUCCUCGUGCUUUGUUACAUGGAGUCUUUGCCCUCAUUUUGGUCUUUUGAAUGGAGUUUAUCUGGAAUGUGGACAUCAGUGGGCCAGAUACACAAAGAGGACCUUGAACUCUUAAAUCGGACCAGCGGUCUGCUACAGCGCAACUCUCAUGCAAAUUUAUGAUGGACAUUGGAGCAAAGGAAGUAAACACAUAUCUUUUGUUCAUUUUUAUAGAACUUUUGAAUACUAUGUUGGAUUUAUCUGCAGUGUGACUAGCCUUAAGUGUUUGUGCUGUUUCUUUCCUUUUCCCGCAGCCUUUGAAAAACAACUUUUUUCCUUAUGAAUUAUAUUAUGAUGCUUUUGAAAGAUUUUUAUUAACUGUGGGAAACCAACCACAAAGCUGGUAAUCUUUCUUAAAAACAACCCAAUUAUAGUAAAGCAGACAUAACACUUAUUGCAGAAAUGUUUUUCCUAGGAAUUAGGAAAGGAAGUUGUCUAUGUUCUCAAGUUAGGGAACACUCAAGCCAAAAAAAAAAAAAAAAAUCCCAAUGCAGAGUUUUGAGUUUGCAGUUCAAAAAUUUGACAUUCCUGUAAAUUAUCUCAUGAAGCUUUUGCUAAAAUUCAGUUUUGAAAAGUUUAUAUUCUACCUUAUUGUAGAUAAGAAAUGUGAACUGCUGGUCAGAUAUUAAUGUUCAUUAAACCUGGACUGGCCACAUUAAUGCUUAAUUGGGUCUCCACCUUCCCCAAGAAAAAGAUAAUUGCUAACCUUUUUUGAGAAAAAUACUGAAAAUUUCACAAUUUCAGUAUUUCAGUUAUCAAUGUAAAGUACAUUUGAUGGGUAUUAAAAAUUUCCCAAUUAAUUAAUAAAAACAAAACCACCCCCAAAAAACCUUUCCAUCAUCAGUGGACAGGAUUCCAGUUCCUCUGCUUACUGGCCAUCUCCUGUAAUUGCCUGUUUUGUUGUUGACAGUGGCCAUCCAAAUGAGUGUGAAUGGUAGCUCAUGGUGACUGAUUGUAUUCAUUUAGAAAAUAAUGCUGUUGACCAUCCUUUUGUGUGCUUGUUGACCGCUUGUAUAUCGUCUUUGGAGAACUGUCUAUUCAAGUACCUUGCCCAUUUCUAAAUUGGGUGGUUUUUCUUGAUGUUCUUAAAUUGUAGGAGUUCUUUAUAUAUAUAUAUAUAUAUAUAUAUAUAUAUAUAUAUAUACUUUUUUAAAAAUUAAAAAUUAUUACAGUACAAAUGCAUUGCCAUUAAUCCCCUAACAGUGCUCCCCCUUACUUUAAACAUACAUUGCAUCAUUCUUGCCACUUUCUGAAGAAGUUCUGGGAGUCCUUUUUUGUCAGUGUCUCUACAAUUCUCUCUACAUUUUGAAUAUCAAUCCCUUAUAAUAUAUAUGAUCUGCAAAGAUUUUCUCCCAAUCCAUUGGUAGCCUUGCCAUUCUGGUGAUUGUGUCUUUGGAUGCAUAUAACUUUUGAAAAUUAAAA
rnacentral:lncRNA from 1 species